rnacentral:misc_RNA from 1 species
UCCCAGUCGCCGCAGCUACACCCCUCCCAAUGCUUGUAUGACUGCGAGGCAACGAAGUGCUGUCUUCCUCCACCUGCUGCG